UUCGCAAUGCCCGAAAGGGUGACGAAGCGACGCCGCGUGUGGGAAGAAGGCCUUCGGGUUGUAAACCACUGUCGGGAGUUAAGAAAUGUAAGGGUGUUAAUAGCAUCCUUACUUGACUAAGGCUCCGGAGGAAGCCACGGCUAACUCUGUGCCAGCAGCCGCGGUAAUACAGAGGCGGCAAGCGUUGUUCGGAAUUAUUGGGCGUAAAGAGCACGUAGGCGGCUAUGUAAGUCGGUUGUGAAAGCCUUCCGCUCAACGGGAGAACAGCAUCCGAUACUGCAUGGCUUGAGUGCGGGAGGGGAGAGUGGAACUUCUGGUGGAGCGGUGAAAUGCGUAGAUAUCAGAAGGAACGCCGGCGGCGAAAGCGGCUCUCUGGCCCAUAACUGACGCUGAGUGUGCGAAAGCUAGGGGAGCAAACGGGAUUAGAUACCCCGGUAGUCCUAGCCGUAAACGAUGGGCACUAAGUAGAGGGGUUUU
rnacentral:rRNA from 1 species